CUUUACUACUGUGUUAGACAUAUUACAUCAGUAAACAGCACAUGUAUAAGAAACAAAAAUCAUACAUAAAGCUUCUAUUUACAUUUAAUGGAAAAUAACAUAAUCUUCUGUGUAUGUUGUUUAAUUAAAGGUCUGGUCAAAAAUUUGGUAACACAUUUUCAUCAGAUACAAGUAAGUCAUGGAUAUUCAUAACGUUGAUUUUCUAUGAACAACUGUGUGACUCUGUUAACAUAUACAGUGUACAAUUUAGAGAUGACUGUAUUUGAAGCUUUGCAGACGUCCAUCUGUUGUUCUACUGUCACAAAUUAAGUUUACCUGGGGAAGCGUAGCUGAGAUAGGUUAAAACAUAUUUGCAACAGUAAAACUACCAAUGGCUGUAGGAAAAGCUUAAAAAACAUUGCAGUUGAUCUCCAUUCUAAUGCAAAAUAAACAAAUAAUUCAACUUUAGUCAUUAUUUCUGUGUAAAAUUUUCAUUAAACAAAAAUUCUGCAUAUCAGAUACUGAGUCACUUUUCAAAUUAAAAGUAUAAAAUAUUGUGUAGAUUUUCCAUAUAAAAAAAAUCAAAUAUUGGGACUAUUUUUUCACAUCAAAAAAUCAAUGUAAAUCCAGUUAGUAAUGCUUGCAUUUAAUAUUGUGAUUGUUUAAGAAAAUGAUUUAAAAUUGCAAGAUCAAUUAUUGUGAUUUCAUAAAAAUGUAGCAUACAAAUAGUGUGAUUCAAAAUGUUUAAAUGUGCAUUUUUGUUUUUGAGAAUCUGAUCCUUUAGCAAUUUUCACAAUAAUAAAAAUAUCAAAACAUUUCUAAAUUUACAGUAAAUCAUAA
rnacentral:lncRNA from 1 species